rnacentral:tRNA from 3 species
GCGGGAGUAGCUCAUCUGGUAGAGCGACAGCCUUCCAAGCUGUAGGUGGCCGGUUCGAGCCCGGUUUCCCGCU